UAUUGAAAAAUGCUUUUCAAAAACUUGUGAAUCUAUAUCCUUCUUACCCAACCCAAUUUCCAGAUUAAUUCUCGUUUUUUUAUU
rnacentral:tRNA from 1 species